GACAGAGGGUGCAAACGUUGUUCGGAAUUACUGGGCGUAAAGCGAGUGUAGGCGGUUCGGUAAGUCGGAUGUGAAAGCCCCGGGCUCAACCCGGGAAGUGCACUCGAUACUGCCGAGCUAGAGUAUCGGAGAGGUUGGUGGAAUUCUCGGUGUAGAGGUGAAAUUCGUAGAUAUCGAGAGGAACACCAGUGGCGAAGGCGACUUACUGGACACAUAUUGACGCUGAGGUGCGAAAGCGUGGGGAGCAAACAGG
rnacentral:rRNA from 1 species